rnacentral:lncRNA from 1 species
UUGGGCUUUGCCUAAUUUACUUUCUGUUUCAUUUAAACAAAUGAGAUGGAACUCCAGGGGAAGUAAAGACUGAACUGAAGAAUGAGCCGCAGAGCAAGCAGGGGUUCUUGCCUGAAUAUUUGAAAAGGAUUAAUGAAAAUGUAUCAUCCUGUCACCCUUUACCGUCAUCAUGGAAAUCAAGUCCGUCCACUGCCUCCGGGCUCAAGCACAGUCAAAUCAGCAUUGCUCAAAGCAGGCAAGGCACUCACAAAAGCAUAAAUAAAGCGAAAUGGAGACAGGAUCUUAGCAUUUUGCAAGGCCUCAGUGCAGAGUGGAAGCAAAGGAAAUCAAGAGACUUAAAUGCACCAGGAGCCAUUGCACGACAAGCUUCUUUCUCAUUUGUCUUCAUCAGAAGAAUUUCAAGAUCGAAACAUCGAAUCGACGCUCGCUGAUCACUGAUAGGAAGAUU